rnacentral:rRNA from 1 species
AGGCAGCAGUGGGGAAUAUUGGGCAAUGGGCGCAAGCCUGACCCAGCAACGCCGCGUGAAGGAAGAAGGCUUUCGGGUUGUAAACUUCUUUUCUCAGGGACGAACAGAUGACGGUACCUGAGGAAUAAGCCACGGCUAACUACGUGCC